GAUGAACGCUGGCGGCGUGCUUAACACAUGCAAGUCGAACGAUGAAGCCCAGCUUGCUGGGUGGAUUAGUGGCGAACGGGUGAGUAACACGGGAGUAACCUGCCCUUGACUCUGGGAUAAGCCUGGGAAACGGGGUCUAAUACUGGAUAUGACUUCUCACCGCAUGGUGGGGGGUGGAAAGAUUUAUUGGUCUUGGAUGGACUCGCGGCCUAUCAGCUUGUUGGUGAGGUAAUGGCUCACCAAGGCGACGACGGGUAGCCGGCCUGAGAGGGUGACCGGCCACACUGGGACUGAGACACGGCCCAGACUCCUACGGGAGGCAGCAGUGGGGAAUAUUGCACAAUGGGCGCAAGCCUGAUGCAGCGACGCCGCGUGAGGGAUGACGGCCUUCGGGUUGUAAACCUCUUUCAGUAGGGAAGAAGCGAGAGUGACGGUACCUGCAGAAGAAGCGCCGGCUAACUACGUG
rnacentral:rRNA from 1 species